AUAAAAAAAAAUAAAAUAAAAAUAAAAAAUCUCGGAGGAUUGAAACAUCUUGAAAAGUGCUAGAGUAAUUGUCAAAAGUUGAAAAGGUCACCAAAAUAUCCCAAAGGUAAUUUUGGGUGUGACAUGAAAUAGGGACACAUACAAAAUCAAAAUAAAAUAAAAUAAAAUAAGCAUAAAAAAAUAGUCCCUUUGUAUAAUCAUUGUGAUAGCACUUGAGAUUCAUUGUGAAUUUCUUUCCUCUUGAUAUAAAAAAAAAAAAAAAAAAAAAAUAUUGGAUGCACUUUGAGUUUCAUGAUUAAUAUUAUUCUCAUAUUUUGUUUACCUUAUUCCCUUUCUUUGUUAACCACAAUUUUACCCUAUUAGACCCCAUUACAACCCUUAAAAAGACCUAAUGAUUCUUUGAAAAAUGCUUGUUACAUUAGUAGAGUUAGAUCUUUUAUGCUUGCAUAUGGGUUUGGCAAUAUAAUCUUCCAUACAUUACUCACCAUCUAUUUGAGACACAUUGGCUAUCUAUUUCAUUUAGGUUUGUUUUGGCACAAUUGACUCUUGUAGUUGGUUGGUAUUUGUUGCUUGGGUUGAUUGGUUAAUUCUUAGCUAUUCUGUAAUAGUUGAGAGUGCUUGCUUCAUUCUUUGUGCUUUUGCUGGUGGGAAUUUGGAAUGUUGGUGGCUAGAGGUAAGUUGGUGGUUUGGAUUAGUGAAUUUUGUGUUUUCAAAGACUGAUUCUAUUCCCUUCCAAAUGAGUUUUAAUGAAAUUUUGCUUGAGGACAAGCAAGAGUUUGAGUAUGGGGGAAUUUGAUGCAUGCAUUUUAUAUCAUCAUUUAGGAGUUAAAUCUGGAGAAAUUUGAUGUAUUUUGAUCAGAGUAGCCAUUUGGAGGAGAUUAAAAUCGAAUUGCAAAAAAAAAUUUUGAAGUUGAGAAAAAAAAAAAUGGCCGAGAGCGACACAACCCGCGACACAACUGACUCGGCUUAUGUCGUUUUUACUGGAAAAUUUUUUGACGUGGCAUUUCCGUUACUCCAGCCUUUUUACCUCACUUUUUCUAGAUCCUUCCCCCUUUUACCCAUUCUAGAACAA